rnacentral:rRNA from 1 species
AGUGAACGCUGGCGGUAGGCCUAACACAUGCAAGUCGAACGGCAGCACAGUAAGAGCUUGCUCUUACGGGUGGCGAGUGGCGGACGGGUGAGGAAUACAUCGGAAUCUACUUUUUCGUGGGGGAUAACGUAGGGAAACUUACGCUAAUACCGCAUACGACCUACGGGUGAAAGCAGGGGAUCUUCGGACCUUGCGCGAUUGAAUGAGCCGAUGUCGGAUUAGCUAGUUGGCGGGGUAAAGGCCGACCAAGGCGACGCUCCGUAGCUGGUCUGAGAGAAUGAUCAGACACACUGGGACUGAGAGACGGUCCAGACUCCUACGGGAGGCAGCAGUAGGGAAUAUUGGACAAUGGGCGCAAGCCUGAUCCAGCCAUGCCGCGUGGGUGAAGAAGGCCUUCGGGUUGUAAAGCCCUUUUGUUGGGAAAGAAAAGCAGCGGGUUAAUACCCCGAUGUUCUGACGGUACCCAAAGAAUAAGCACCGGCUAACUUCGUG